GGAGCUGGUUUUGGGGAGCUGUUUUGAGGAGCUGGUUUUGGGGAUCAGGAGCUGGUUUUGGGGAGCUGGUUUUGGGGAUCUGGAGCUGUUUUUGGGGAACUAGUUUUGAUGAUCAGGAGCUGUUUUGAGGAACUAUUUUGAGGAAUCAGGAGCUCUUUUGUGGGAGCUGUUUUGGGCAUCAGGACCUGUUUUUGGGGAGCUGUUUUGAGGGAAUCAUGAGCUGGUUUUGGGGAUCAUGAGCUGGUUUUGGGGAGCUGGUUUUGGGGAUCAGGAGCUGUUUUUGAGGAGCAAUUUUUGGGAAUCAGGAGCUGGUUUUGGGGAGCUGUUUUGGGGGAAUCAGGACCUGUUUUGAGGAGCUAUUUUGGGGGAUCGGGAGCUGGUUUUGGGGACCUGGUUUUGGGGAUCAGGACCUGUUUUGUGGGUCCUGUUUUGAGGAGCUGUUUUGGGGGGAUCAGGAGCUGGUUUUGACGAUCAGGAGCUGUUUUUGGGGACCUGAUUUUGGGGAUCUGGACCUGUUUUGGGGGAGCUGUUUUGGGGGACCAGGACCUGUUUUGAGGAGCUGAUUUUGGGGAUCAGGAGCUGUUUUUGAGAACCUGUUUUGGGGGAUCAGGAGCUGAUUUUGGGGAGCUGGUUUUGAGGAGCUAUUUUGAGGGAUCAGGAGCUGGUUUGGGGGAUCAGGAACUGGCUUUGGGAAUCAGGAGCUGUUUUGUGGGACCUGUUUUGAGGAGCUAUUUUGAGGGAUCAUGAGCUGGUUUUGGGGACCUGUUUUGGGGGAUCAGGAGCUGCUUUUGAGGAGCUAUUUUUGGGGAUCAGGAGCUGUGUUUGGGGACCUGAUUUUGGAGAUCUGGACCUGUUUUGGAGGAGCUGUUUUUGAUGACCAGGACCUGUUUUUGGGGAGCUGUUUUGGGGAUCAGGAGCCAUUUUUGAGGGAUCAGGACCUGGUUUUGGGUACCUGUUUGGAGGAGCUGUUUCUGGGGGAUCAGGGCCUAUUUUGAGGAGCUAUUUUGAGGAAUCAGGAGCUCUUUUGUGGGAGCUGUUUUGGGGAAUCAGGAGCUGGUUUUGGGGACCUGAUUUUGAGGAUCUGGACCUGUUUUGGGGGAGCUGUUUGUGAUGAUCAAGACCUGUUUUGAGGAGCUGUUUUGAGGAAUCAGGAGCUGGUUUGGGGGAUCAGGAGCUGUUUUUGGGGAGCUGUUUUGAGGACCUGUUUUGGGAGAUCAGGAGCUGAUUUUGGGGGGAUCAGGAGC
rnacentral:lncRNA from 1 species